rnacentral:rRNA from 1 species
UACGAAGGGUGCAAGCGUUAUUCGGAAUCAUUGGGCGUAAAGCGCGCGCAGGCGGAUUGAUAAGUCAGGUGUGAAAUCUCGAGGCUCAACCUCGAAACUGCGCCUGAAACUAUUAGUCUAGAAUUUCGGAGGGGGUAGGGGAAUUUCACGUGUAGGGGUAAAAUCCGUAGAGAUGUGAAGGAACACCGGGGGCGAAGGCGCCUACCUAGACGAAUAUUGACGCUGAGGCGCGAAAGCGUGGGGAGCAAACAGG